AUCUUUAUGCAGGUAAGCCAUCAAAUCGGACGAUUUCACAAGGAUAUACCUUUGAUUGUUUCAGAUCGGCUUUGAUUUUUCGGAUCCAUAACAUCCAAGCCAUCUGACAUGGAAUUCAAAACAAAUCAAUAAAUUGUUUCAGAAAAAUGUGUAGCUUCAACUAUCUAUGAAGGAUGAAGAAUGAAGAUCAAAAGAUUUACCAGGGAAGAGGUUCGCUGAAGAGAAUCGAGAUUAACAAAAG
rnacentral:lncRNA from 1 species